rnacentral:rRNA from 1 species
GAUGAACGCUAGCGGCAGGCUUAAUACAUGCAAGUCGAGGGGUAGCAAGAUUGUAGCAAUACAAUUGUUGACGACCGGCAAACGGGUGCGGAACACGUACACAACCUUCCUACAAGUGGGGAAUAGCCCAGAGAAAUUUGGAUUAAUACCCCGUAACAUAGCGAUGUGGCAUCACAUUGCUAUUAUAGCUUCGGCGCUUGUUGACGGGUGUGCGGCUGAUUAGAUAGUUGGCGGGGUAACGGCCCACCAAGUCUACGAUCAGUAGCUGAUGUGAGAGCAUGAUCAGCCACACGGGCACUGAGACACGGGCCCGACUCCUACGGGAGGCAGCAGUAAGGAACAUUGGACAAUGGACGCAAGUCUGAUCCAGCCAUGCCGCGUGAAGGAUUAAGGUCCUCUGGAUUGUAAACUUCUUUUAUAAGGGACGAAAAAAGGUCUUUCUAGAUCGUCUGACGGUACCUUAUGAAUAAGCACCGGCUAACUCCGUGCCAGCCGCCGCAGUAACAC